rnacentral:rRNA from 1 species
CCUACGGGCGGCAGCAGUGGGGAAUAUUGGACAAUGGGGGGAACCCUGAUCCAGCCAUGCCGCGUGUGUGAAGAAGGCCCUCGGGUUGUAAAGCACUUUCAGUGAGGAAGAACGCCUGGUGGUUAAUACCCAUCAGGAAAGACAUCACUCACAGAAGAAGCACCGGCUAACUCCGUGCCAGCAGCCGCGGUAAUACGGAGGGUGCGAGCGUUAAUCGGAAUUACUGGGCGUAAAGCGCGCGUAGGUGGCUUGAUAAGCCGGUUGUGAAAGCCCCGGGCUCAACCUGGGAACGGCAUCCGGAACUGUCAAGCUAGAGUGCAGGAGAGGAAGGUAGAAUUCCCGGUGUAGCGGUGAAAUGCGUAGAGAUCGGGAGGAAUACCAGUGGCGAAGGCGGCCUUCUGGACUGACACUGAUACUGAGGUGCGAAAGCGUGGGUAGCAAACAGGAUUAGAUACCCGUGUAGUC